rnacentral:rRNA from 1 species
AUUGAACGCUGGCGGCAGGCUUCACACAUGCAAGUCGAGCGCGCGGCGGACGGGUGAGUAAUGUCUGGGAAACUGCCUGAUGGAGGGGGAUAACUACUGGCAACGGUAGCUAAUACCGCAUACCCUCAGAUGUGCCCAGAUGGGAUGAGCUAGUAGGUGGGGUAAUGGCUCACCUAGGCGACGAUCCCUAGCUGGUCUGAGAGGAUGACCAGCCAAACUGGAACUGAGACACGGUCCAGAUGCCUACGGGAGGCAGCAGGGGGGAAUAUUGCACAAUGGGGGCAAGCCUGAUGCAGCCAUGCCGCGUGGAUGAAGAAGGCCUUCGGGUUGGAAAGUACUGUCAGCGGGGAGGCGUUACCCGCAGAAGAAGCACCGGCUAACUCCGUGCCAGCAGCCGCGGUAAUUC